rnacentral:rRNA from 1 species
UUCCGGUUGAUCCUGCCGGAGGCUACCGCUAUUGGAGUUCGAUUAAGCCAUGCGAGUCGCGAGUCUUAGGGACUCGGCGUACCGCUCAGUAACACGUGGGUAACCUGCCCUAUGCUGGGGGAUAACCUCGGGAAACUGAGAAUAAUACCCCAUAGUUCACCACGCCUGGAACGGUGGGUGGAUGAAAGCUCCGGCGGCAUAGGAUGGGCCUGCGGCGUAUCAGGUUGUAGGGGGUGUAAUGUACCCUCUAGCCCUCUACGCGUACGGGUGUUGGGAGACAUCGCCCGGAGAUGGAUUCUGAGACACGAAUCCAGACCCUACGGGGUGCAGCAGGCGCGAAAACUUGGCAAUGCGAGCAAUCGUGACCAGGGAACUCCAAGUGCAUCGGGUAAGACCGAUGCUUUUCUUGACUCUUCAAAGGUCUUGGAAUAAGGGGUGGGUAAGGACGGUGCCAGCCGCCGCGGUAAUACCGGCGCCUCAAGUGGUAGUCGCUUUUAUUGGGCCUAAAACGUCCGUAGCCGGUUUGGUACAUUCGUGGGUAAAUCAAGGCGCUCAACGUCUUGAAUUCUGCGAGCACGGCCAGACUUGGGACCGGGUGAGGUGUGGGGUACUCUCAGGGUAGGGGUAAAAUCCUGUCAUCCUGAGAGGACCACCUGUUGCGAAGGCGCCACACUAGAACGGAUCCGACGGUCAGGGACGAAGCCUAGGGGCACGAACCGGAUUAGAUACCCGGGUAGUCCUAGGUGUAAACGCUGUGGACUUGAUGUUGGGAGUGCUCCGAGCACCCUCAGUGUCGAAGCGAAGGUGAUAAGUCCACUGCCUGGGGAGUACGGUCGCAAGGCUGAAACUUAAAGGAAUUGGCGGGGGAGCACUGCAACCUGAGGAUUGUGCGGUUUAAUUGGAUUCAACGCCGG